rnacentral:rRNA from 1 species
UACGUAGGGUGCAAGCGUUAAUCGGAAUUACUGGGCGUAAAGAGCGCGCAGGCGGUCGUUCAAGUCGAGUGUGAAAGCCCCCGGCUCAACUGGGGAGGGUCAUUCGAUACUGAUCGACUUGAAGGCAGGAGAGGGAAGUGGAAUUCCCGGUGUAGUGGUGAAAUGCGUAGAUAUCGGGAGGAACACCAGUGGCGAAGGCGACUUCCUGGCCUGUUCUUGACGCUGAGGCGCGAAAGCUAGGGGAGCAAACGGG